rnacentral:lncRNA from 1 species
UAGAUUUCCCUUGAAAUAAUUGGCUCAACGAUCUCCAAUUCUGCAUCCUGUGUGAUAGAAUCAAUAUUAGAGUUCAAAAAGUUCGACUUACCAUCAGCACUUAAAUUCCUACAGAACAUGCCAUUGGCAACGUUUCGAAGCGCGACUUUAUUUUUAGCAAUCUUGAUUGGCCAAAACAAGGUGUUUUUGUCGUUCUCCGUCUGGUCGUCUGAGUCAGCCUUGAUCCAGUUUGGGUCACGUCUCCAAAACAUCUUCGUAGAUUCAUUCUUAAUUCUUAUAGUUCCAUCGCCGACGUUGAAAACUUCUUGGCUCACCCUAGGGUCUCCAACGUCGUGGGCAUUGAAUUGCAAAUAUGUGGUGUAAUUAUAAGGAUAGGCAGCGAGAAACUUGUCACCGUUCUUAAAGGUGACGUAUUUAGGGAGUCGGAUGAUGUUUUCAAAAUCGACUAACAAAAGUAAUUUGUCGCCAUGAUGUUUUUCAUCUUGUUUAUAUCUAGUUGUGAGAACAUUGGGAUGAUUCUUGCAACUAGUACAUCGACAUGCAUAGGUUUGAAGCAAUACAUCAAAUAAAUAGUAAGUCCCUACAGUAGGACCUUGGAUGAUAUUAAACAAUGUGCAUGGCCAUGAGGUAUCGUUUUCACUCGGCUUGCUAACAAAGGGACGAACAAAGCGAUUGUAGUCAUUGGAAGAGGCUAAGUACUUGUUGUUGUAGCAACAUUUAAUGUGCCAAUAUUUACCAUUCUUGUCGGGCUCAAUCUCGAACUUUGUAAACGGGGUCAAAGCUUGAUCAGAAGAGAAGUAUAGAUUGCCCUUAAAAAAACCAUGGGUAAGGUAUUGAAGGUACUUCCUUUCUGUGUGGUUCUGAAAUCCUACAUACUUAGGGAGAAACGACAUUAUUAUAGAUAUGAUCAACAGAUACAAAGAGAGAGAGAGAGAUGAGCUUGAGUGUACGUGUAUGUAUGUAUAAGUUUUCUUCUUCUUAAUUACACACUUAAUUCUCUAAGGUGUGAGUACUAAUACCCAAUAUCCAAACCUCUUCUCUUUAUAUAUACAUGUAUGGAUAACUAAUAUUAACUAUUAUCUUCUGCAUGAUCGUAGGACGAUACAUCACUUAUAAUAUGGAUAACAAGGAAUCCUUACUUUACUUUUUUUCUUUAUUGACUAAAUAAUUUAAACUUUAUACUUUGUGUCAAUCAAAAAUAUCUCUCAACCCUAAAUAUAUAUAUUUUUAAAAAUAAUUUAAAGCAGCAUUUUCAAAAAUAGCAAAAUAAAAUAAAAUAUUUACAAGCUAUAACAAAAUUUUAGAUUUUAUGAGUGAUAAAAAUGUAGCAUAUCAAUGAUUAUCAGUUAUAGAAUUGAUUGUAAAUAUUUUGUAAAAUCUACUGCUUUUUUAAAUUUCCCUAAUUUAAAAGUAUUUACAUUGCAUUGCACAUGUUAUGUAAAAAGAAAAUAUUUAAAAGUUGUAGAUUCAUGGUACGGUGAUAGAAAACUACUAGCUAUAGAAUCCAAGAUUUUGCUAUAGUUUUUAAAUAUUUUAAUUAAUUUAUUUUGCUAUUUUAAAAAAUAGUCAUAAGACCAUAAAUUAGUUAUUUAAGAUUUUUUUCGAAAACUCAUUCUUAUGUUUUAGAUUUGGGAAAUUGUCAAAUAUUCAUUUACACUUUAUAGAAAAAUAAAAUUGAAUCACUCUCGAGAAAAUAUAAUUUUUGUUUGUUUUUUUGGAUGAAGUGAAAAUAGUUUGUCAAAUUUUUUUAUAUUUUUUUAAAAAAAUUGAAGAUUUGGUUAGCUUAAAUUAUUAUUUAUUAUUAAAAACCAUUAUAUAUAUUUUAAAAUUUUGUGAAUAUUUAGAAAUCUAAUUUUUUUAAAAACAUUGUUCACUUUUGGUUGUAGUGAAUAUAUAUCAAAAUCUAUUAGAUUUUCAAAAAAAAAUUAUCUCCAACCUAAUAUCUAUUAUUAUUUUCUAAAAAUUGUUCCGAUAGAAAUAUAUAAAAAAAUAUUAAUUUUUAUAUGUGGUGAUAGACUCUUAUCGCUGAUAUAGUCUAUAUUAUUGAUAGAUUUCCAAAUAUUGAUCUAAAUUUUGUUAUAUCAAAAAAGAAAAAAUAAAAACCAAAGUUUUUUACUACCGACACCUUUUUCCACUCUCCAACACUAGAGUCACCCACCUUUCUACAACAUAAUGGAUGUGAGACAAACACUUUUAAUAUUUUGCCAAAAAUUCUUACAAAAAUGAUAUUUUCAGUACGUGGAACCCUCCGUUUAAAAUUUGCAGAACUAGGAAGAUUUAGAAAAAGUCGUUUUAGAAAAGAGGUUAAUAUAAUUGCUAACCUGAGUAGUUAUCUCAAGGACAAGAGAUCUCGAAUUCAAAUCUUUCCACGCUUCCGUAUUGUAUUAUUUAAACAUAUCUUUAAAAAAACUUAAUUAAUUUGUAACCUAAAAAUAAAUAACAUUAUCUUUUUGUUUUCUUUUCAUACGAAGAUUAUAUUGCUGCUUAAGAACAAUAUACUUUACUAAAUUCUUUUGUUUGAGCAGACUAGAACAUACUGAUAUAUUCCAUGUUUCACAUUGUUGAACGACUUUAACUUUUACAUUCAUACAACUUUUGUACGAGCAUCUUAUUUUUGUUUCGAGUCAUUGACAUUCAACCUCGCCAGUUCCAAAAUAUGGGGCUGUUUAUUAAUUCUCUCUCUUUAGUUAGGAGGGUCUCUAUCUCUAAAUAAAAAGUUGUUUAAAUAAUUGAUCCUCAAUCUGCUUUUAAUAUACAUGUUAUUGACCAAGGUUAUAUAAAUGUUAUUAGUACAUAUUAAUCAAGAGUUCAAAAAUGUUAUGUAUUUUUUUCUUAAACUAAUAUUAUUUAAGGUAAUGUGAUCCCAAACCUUAAGUUACUUAAUGAAGCAAUGAAGAAGAAUAUAGCUAAAUAUAGUAGAUGCCUUUAUCUUUCUUUCUUUGAUCAUUUCGUCUUCAUCUUAUUCCAUUGCUAGAUUAGAUCUUGUUGAACUUAUAUCUAAUACCAUAAAUCUUUCUUCAUUUAUGCUUGAAUUAUUAAACUACAUUCUAUUUCCUUACCCGAACUUUGAAUACUUUAAAGAAAAAUAUUUAAAAAAGUAGAUUUUACAAAAUAUUUACGAACAUAUACCAAAUUCUAUCAUAUCAGUCAUAGAAUCUAAAAUUUUGCUAGUAAAUACUUUAUUUUAUUUUGUUAUUUUUAAAAAUGUUUUAUAUAUAAAACAUCGAUAUAAAAACAGUAAAAAGACUUUUAAAGACAGAUUUGUCCGGUUUUAAAUUAAAUGUAUUGAAUUAAAAAAUUAUUAGGUAAAUUGAUUUUUAAAAAGAGAAAUUUUUAGAAAUAGUAGAUUUUACAAAAUAUUUACAACUUAUAGCAAAUUCUAUCACUGAUAGUCAUUGAUAUGCUAUCGUGAUAGAAGACUAUCAUUGAUGGAAUCUAAAAUUUUGGUAUAGCUUGUAAAUAUUUUAAUUUAUUUUGCUAUUUUAAAAAAUGUUCCUCCCCAACCUAAAAGUUUUGUUUAAUUAAAUAAUUAGAGUAAUAAUAAGAAUUUAGCUUUAAUGAUUGGAAUAAAAAAACGGUUAAUAACUAAUUGAGUCCAAACUUACCGUAUAAACACACACAAGAUUGAAGAUCGAAAAUUGCUCGAAGAUGAAGAUGAAAAUUGAAAUUGUUCAUAGUAAAACAUUAUUUGUUAAUUUAUAAUUUUUUUUGUUAUAGUUUAUACUGUUUUUUUUGUUAAUAAUUCAACCGUUUAUAAUAUUUUUUGUGCAUAGAAACGUACAAAACUUUAUUUUCAUAAACUUUUAAUUUAUCCAAAAAAAAAUGAGAUGUGUUAUUUUGAUUUAAUUAUUUAGUUCAUUUUCUAUAAGAUAGAUGAAAAAAGGUGUGAUUAAUAAAGUUAGAAGUUUUUCUAAAAUCGUGAAUAAAAGUAAUUACAAUUGUUUACAAAUUUAAUUAUAUUAUAGCAAAUCAAAAAUAAAAAUAGAAAACCUGUUAGCAUUUAAAAUUUUAUAGUUUGUUACAUUUAUUAUAUAAAUGUGUUUGAAAUCGUAUUCAAAUAUACAUUUUCUUUCACAGAAAUUUGUUCAAAAUAAUAUUAUGUAGAUUUAUUGUAGCAGAGAUUUAUAGAGAAAAUGUCAAUAAAGCUGAUAAAUAAAAAAAGGGAUAAAAGUUCUAUUUUUUAAAAAAUGGAUCAUACUCGUUCACCCAUCGUUGUAUUGCAUAAAUUUACGAGCAUUUCCAAUCUUAUAAGUAUUUUUUUGAAGACUAAAUGUACAAUUGUAUUGAUACAAAAGCAUACAUGUAUGGUAAUACUUAGUGAAUUAAAAUUAUAGUUAUAAUACAUUGUGUGGACAUUUAAUUUUUUUUUAAGGAAAGGAGAAAUCUAAUUAGUAAUUUAAGAUAAUUAUCCAAAAUUAUAUAACUGUGAAUGCUUUGUAAUUAAAAUAAUAAAUAAAUUAGUUAUUUUCUAAUAUCAAAAUAAACUAAAAUAUUUAAAGUAUAGGAAAGUAUCACUUAUAGGUGUUGAUAGAUACAAUAAAUUUAUGAAUGUUUAUCAUUGAUUUACUAUGAAAAUUCUCUUAUAAUUAAAAAUAAUUUCAACCAUUUUAUUAUUGGGACACUUGCAAAAAUGACAAAACAAGUUAUAAUAAUUAAGUCCAUAACACACAAGUUUUAUUAUUUUCGAAGAUGGCAAAAACGAAGUCCAACCCACACAUCAAGAGGUAAAAUAUCACUAAUGUCUUUGUUACUAAUAUACAUCUGAUACACCUUAUACACGUCUGAUACACCUAAUACACCCCUUGAUACACCUAAUAUACCCCUUGAUACACCUGAUACUUCUUGAUACACCCGAUAUAUUUGAUUGAUACACUUGAUGCACCUAAUACUUUUUGAUACAUUCGAUACCUUUUGAUACACACCUGAAACAUUACUAAUAUAUGUUUGAUACACUGCAGAUACAUUUAGUAUUCUUCACUUAUACAAUUGAUUGAUUAAAUGCACUUGAUAUGCUUGAAGUCCUACUUAUAUACUUGAUAUAAUAUUGAUAUACACUUGUAAACUUGAUUCAUAUACUUGAUAAUGAUUCACUUUACUAAUAUGUUUUAACAAUAUAUUGUUAAUAUACUUGAUAAUGAUACACUGAGUUACAUCAUUCAUAUACUUAAUAAUACUCUAACGAACUACGUAAAGUUUGAAAAAACGAAAAUCAUGUAGUAAGUAUAUUAACCAACUAAUACAUAUAAUAUAAGUAUAUCACAACACUAUAUACGAAACUGAGAAAAAGUAAAACAAAAAAAUUAAUGUAAAAAAAUAAAACAAAAUCAUUUGGAAUCUAAUUCAACUCAAAAUACAUAUCGAAGGAAGUAAAAAAAAAAUCACAAAUGAAGUUAAUUACUCCGAUCAACAACCAUUAUAUUAUAUUUCAUAUUGCAAUUAUUGUACUAUUGAUAUUUUAAAAUUAAGAUUAAGACAAAAAGAAUAAAUUAUUUUUUUAGUAUAAGAAUAAACAAAUAAUUAGGGUCUUAGAAAGUGAGAGAAUAAAUAAAUAAUAAGUAGACAUUAAAUAGAGGAAGAGAAAUAAGUUAUUGAACGGUAAUUUAGGAAUAAUAACAAACUUAAGAUGAAGAAGUAAAAAUUUUGCCAUAUUUACAAAAUUCUAAAACAAUGUGCUAUAAUUGCUAUAUUAUAUUCUCGAAAUGUUAUCAUAAGGAAUUUUUAAAUAUUAUUUACAACUAUUUUUUAAAAUUAUAAUAUAUUACUUAUUUGUAAAUUCCCACCUAAAAGUUAACAUAGCUAGAUUAGGAGAUGAUUGCAAAUAUGAUUUUAGCAUUAUGGUUAUAAAAAUUUGAAGCAUACAUUUACAAAAUCACCAACUUUAUGUGUGUAUAUAUAUAUGACAAAUUAUGUGCAAUAGAAUCUUUAGAAUUUGAGUCUAAAAUCAAAAAUUUAUAAUAUAUAUGUGUGUAAAUUUUAAAAUAACUAAAUAUGCAUCUCAACUUCAAAUAUAUAUAUGUGACACAUAGAUAAAAUAUAUAUGUUAAUAGAAAAGAGAUUAGAAUUAAAAUAUGUAUAAUUUUUAGUAUUAUCUUUUUUUGCAUUGAACUGCAUUAUUUGUUAGGUAAUACUUUUUGUAGCAUAGUAAUAAGAUAGAUCACAUUUUGAUUUAUUAAAAGCUUUAUCCAACACAACAGAUAAAGCUAUACACACACUCAAGAGUAAGUAAAAGAAAAAUUAAGAAACACAAACACAAAUGACAUAAUAGUGGAUGAUGGAUAAUAUAGUGUGGUAUAGUGAUGAUGAAUUAUAUAAAUCAGAGAGGAAGAGGCUUGUUUUGAUAAUCAAACUUAAAGGUAUAGACUCCAGUGUAAAGGCCAUCAUCAUACUCUGUCUCAACUCUUCUUCCAUUUCGGAGAAGAUCUCGUUGCGUGUACGAAAACGGAAUAUCACAUUUGGCCUUAGUUGCAAGAAGAGUAACUUUCAUCCUUGUGUUUGGUGGUACAGGAACAGUAUAUGUUGCCGUUACUUCUCUACUUUCUGAAAUAGUUUCUCCCCAUGUGUAACUCGCUUCAAAAUUGUAGCUGACUUUAAUCUCAGUAUCUAAAAUUUCAGGAAUCCCAGCUUUAAUGGAAGUCUCUAUACCCACACCUACGGUGAGUGAAGAUUCCCAAGUUUUGGAUUUUUCUUCGAGGUACCUCAAACUUACAGCCAUAACCGUCUCCUUCGAGCUCGAGUUAACAGCCUCCUCCGUUGCCAUUGUUAGUACCUGUUCAUCGUAUAUCUUUGCAUCCAUAGUCCGAUACCGAAUAUUGUAGAUUUCCCUUGAAAUAAUUGGCUCAACGAUCUCCAAUUCUGCCUCCUUAGUGAUAGUUUCACUACUAGCAUUCAGAAAAUCCACCUUACCAUCACCAGUGUAUCUCGUAACAAACCUGCCAUUGGCAACGUUUCGAAGUGCGACUUUGUUUUUAGCAAUCUUGACGGGCCAGAACAAGGUGUUCUUGUCGUUCUUCGUCUGGUCGUUUGAGUCAGCCAGGAUCCAGUUUGGGUCACGUCUCCAAAACUUCUUCGUAGAUUCGUUCUUGAUUCUAACAGUUCCAUCACCAACGUUGAAAAUUUCGUGGCUCACCUGAGGGUUUCCAAUGUCAUUGGCAUUGAACUGCAGAUAUGGGGAAUUACGAUACGUAUAGGUAGCGAGAAACUUGUCAUUGUUCUUAAAGGAGAGGUAUUUAGGGAGUCGGAUGAUGUUUUCAAAGUCGACUAGCACAACUAAUUUGUCGUCGUGUCGUUUUUCAUCGCGUCUAUAUCUAGUUGUGAGAACAUCAGGAUGAAUUCUGCUACUGGUACAUCGACGUGCAUAGGUUUGAAGCAAGACAUCAAAUAAAUAGUAAGUCCCUGUAGUAGGACCAGGGAUGAAAUUAAACAAUGUGCAUGGCCAUGAGGAUUCAUUUUCACUCGGCUUGCUAACGAAGGGAGUAACGAAGCGAUUGUGGUCGUUGGAAGAGGCCAAGUACUUGUCGUUGUAGCAACAUUUUAUGUGCCAAUAUUUACCAUCCUUGUCGGGCACAAUCUCAAACUUUGUAAAUGGGGUCAAAGCUUGAUCGGAAGAGUAUUGUAGGUUACCCCUAAGAAAACCAUCAGAAAGGUAUUGAAGGUACUUUCCUUCUACGUGGUUCUGGAAUCCUGCAUAUUUGGGGAGAAACGACAUUGUUAACGGAGAGAGAUGGUAAAUAUGAGUUUUCUUCUUCUCAAUUACACACUUCUCAAGGUGGUGAGGAACUGAUGCCCAGUCCCCAAACCUCUUCUCUUUAUAUACAUAUAUGGAUAACUAAUAUUAAUUAUUAUAUUUUGCAUGAAUGGGACGAUACAUCGCUUAUAUGGAUAAAUCAGAAUAUAUACUUACUUCACUUUUUUGUUUGUUGACUAGAUAAUCUCAACUUUUUACUUUGUGUCAUUCAUAAAUAUCUCUAAAGUACCGUAAAAAAGUUCAAAAAAAUAAUCUUGCUGCUUUUUAGUGUGUCCAAAAGUUUUCGAUUUUUUUAGUUGUAGUAUUUCUUCUAUACCGCUUAGUUUUUUAGUUGUAGUAUUACUUCUAUACCGCUUAGUUACUUACGUGUGUUUUUAUAAUCUGUGCAUAACUUUUCGAGUUUCUUUCUAGCAUGUUUUGUACUUUUCCAUUGAUUAUUGAUAUCGUAUUUGGUCUUAAGAUGGAAUGAAGGGUGUUAUAGAGAUGUUAACCGAGUUGAAAUAUCUUGGUAUAUUCCAUGAUCCCUCUCUCUAGUUGGAUACUAAGUGCAUUGUAGUACAAUUUAAAAAGAUAACUUAAAUAUAAAUGGUUAAUAAAAUAACUCGUGAAAUUAAAAAAAAAUCAUUAAAAAAAUGAGUUAUUUAUAAAAGAAAAUUAAAAAGAAUCUUUUGAAUAAAAUAAUAACAAGAUUUGAAAUCAAAAUAUUUGUGUACUAUUAUAUGUUAAAUAUAUUAUCACAUAUUAAAUAAAAUAUAAUAUUUUAUGAUAGCAAAUUAAGUAUGAUUAAGUGUUUGUAUUUACAUCUAUGGAUAUAACUAUUAUUUUGGAAAGUUAGUGUAAUACGUAAUUAAGGGUGGAGGGAUAGUUUGAACCCACGGGGAUACACGUUCCUGUAUUAUUGUUAUUGUUAUUAAUUUAAAUAAGUCAAUCAACUAGCAAUGGAAUAAUUAAGAUCAAAAGGAAAUGAUGAAAGAAGGAUAAAGGCAUCCAUCAACUCAAUAAACUUAAAAGAAAUGCUCGUAUAAAAAGUUAAAGUCAUUAAACAGUGUGGAAUAUGAUUGAUUCGUAUAGAGUUGAUGGAUGCAAAGAUAUAGAGAACCAAUCAGCUUAUCUAUAGGUUUUGAUGGUUACACACUGCAAAAUUAAUUUUCACUAACCAAAAUGUUGCAAAUUUUUAAGUAUUAGAAAUAUAUUAUUAUAUACUUUUAAGUUUAUUCAUUUUGUAGUUGGAGAGAAUGGAAAAAAAAAAGUGAGUAGUCAAUAAAGUUUUGGGAGAUUUUUUUUUUAAUUACUGUGUUUUUGUUAGCUUUUUGUUUUCUAUUUUUUGUUUUUCUUUCAGUUAUUAUAUCGUUAAUUUUUUUUGAAAUAUACAAAAAAAAAAAAAAAACUAAAAUAUUUACAAAAUCAAAUUAAAAAGUCCAUGAACCCAACCGUAUAUUUCUUUUAUAAAAUAUUUCAUGUUUGUCUAGCCACUUUCAUUCUACUUUUCUAUCUUCUCUUCGGAUCUAUGUUUCCAAUCAAUCAUAAAUUUUGUAUUUUUUUUUCCAAAGUGUUAUUUGAUUCAAGAUCGUGUACCAAGGUACACAAUCUUGAACAAAAAUCUUUGAGAUAUUGGUACAUGAUAACUUAGAUUUAGCUACACGAUCGUGUAACAAAUCUAAAAGAUAUUGGUACAAGAUCGUGUGCCAAAUAUAAAAUAUAUUGAAAAAAAUCGUUCGAAUAUUGGUGUCGUCACGUGCACGAGACGACACAGAGAGACCGACAUCCUAACAAUGUGUUAGUUUUAAAACAAAAUAAAAAAAAAAAAAAGUUGCCACCAAUUUUUUUUACGAGGUGAUUGAACACCAAAAUAAAAUAAACAAAAUUUAAAUAAAAUCAUAAAAAAAUGGUUGACAAACAUUAGACUUGAGUUUGUGAGUCAAUUGUGCAUGAGGAAAGUGUCACACCCAAAACACCCAUUCAGAAAACGGUGGCAAAAUUGUAAAUAUUGAAUUGAAAAUAUUCUUUAAUUUCUUUUAAAAUUAAUAUCUUAUUUUACCCCCGACUACUCUCAUAUUUGAAGUAACGAUCUCAUAAAAUAAGUGGAAAGCAUUCCACCACACUAUAUUCAUGAAAAAAAAUUUCUCAUCCUCAAAAAUUAGUACAAUUUCUCAAAAUCUAUCCUAGGCAUUGUCUUCUAAUUAUAAAGUGAUUUUUUUCUAGGACAUUAAUUAAAAGUAAUUUUUCUUGGAUCAAAUCUCGAACUCCCAAAAAUUCCAAGAGUUUUAUGAUUUUGUUUAAGAAAAACGGUAUAAGUUAUUAUAAAAGAUUGAUUAGAAAAUUUUAUGAAAUCACAAAUUAAAUUUUGAAGGUUCGAACAACAUAAAAAAAAAAUGAUAACUUGAAAAGAUUUUUUUUUUUCUAAAAUCACUUUUAGAAAAAGAGUUUUGUGAAAGAUUUUUAAACCUAUAAAAAUUUAAAGUAGAAGGAUUUUAAAAUAUUGAAAAUUUUAAAUAGAAAGAUAUAUCAAUUUUGAAUGGAAAUGAAAAUGAGGCUUAAUAGAAAAAUUAGAUAAGUAAAAACAAAAGUAAAGAAACGUCAUAAUAAAUUAAGCAAACAUAUUAAAAUAGCUUAAUGAGAUUUUAGUAAAAACAUUGUUGAGCAAGAAAUUUCGGCCAAUUAAAUUCUGCCACAUCAUCCCAACAAAUAUUUGUCAAAUAAGUAGAUUAGCCAAGUCUAAGCUCAACAAGUAGAUGGGCCUAAGCCCAAUAAAGCAAAUGGGCCCAAGCUCAAGUUUAAGCUUAAGUCCAAGCCCAACAGCCCCACAAGCAAAUGAGUCCAAGCCCACCUAAAGCCCACAAAUUUUCUCUAUAAAUAGAAACCUUUGUCAUUCAUUUGAGAGGUCUUUUUUGUUGAAGGAAGAAUUGAAGCUCUGAAGUACUGAAAUUGUGAAGAAUUGAAGAUUCAAACUUCUAUAAAAAAUUGAAGAUUCAAACUUCUAUAAAAAAUUGAAGAUUCAAACUUCUAUAAAGCUCUCAAGACGUGCAAGUUCUUAUCAACUUCGAGAUCAUCAUCUUCUGAAAGAUUGAAGACUUGGAAGAUCAAACUUUCCUUGAAUUCCAGAAGAUUGAAGCUUAAAUAGACUUGCAACUACAACAUCCUAAAGACCGAAGAUCAAUAAAUUCUAAAUUUUUAACUUGUAUUCGAGAGAAAGCAUCAAAUGAGUAAAUACUAGAGAUUGUAUUUACAAUAUUCAUCAAUAUACAAAUUUCAAUUCCCCGAAAUACAUUUUUUCGAAAUCUCGUGUGAACAAACAUAUUGGAGAUCGACCUCAAACUUUCAAAUAAUCGAUUUUCUCAUCUCAAGAAUUCUAGAAAAACGAACUCUCUAAUUUUUUAGAUUCCAUCGUUGAGUGUUUUUUAAAAGAAAACUAAUUAAAAAUAUUAAAAUAUUAAACAGCGAAAAUGUAAAAUAAACAAUAAUCUAUAAAUAAAAUAAAAUAUAAUGCAAAACUAUUAGAAAAAGAAAGAAGAAAGUAAGAAUAAAUAAUGAUUAAAAAAAUUGAUAAACAAGGUAUGAAAUAACGUACAUCAACAAAUAAAUUUAUUAUAUAAAAAAGAAAAUGUAGAAAUAAGGUAAUAAAGAAAUAAUUAUAAGAGUAGAAAAAUGGAGAAAUAAGAAUUAGAAAAAUAAACAAAUAUGGAGAGAAAAAAUAAACGUAUAUAAAAAUAAGAAAAUAUUAAAAAAACAAUAAUCAACUUUAUGAAAAGAGAAUAAAAGAACUAGAUAUAAAAUGCUAAUUAAAAAGAAAUAAAUAUAAUAUAGAAAGAAGAAGAAGAUAUACAACAAAAUGUAUAAUAAAAAAAAUUAUAUAUAAAAGAGAAGUUCAAAAGAUAAUAUAAAAAAAAAUAGGAAAAUUAGAAAAACAAUAACUAAAAAAUACAAAAGAAAAAAUUAAAAAAAAAGAAUUAAAACAAUGAACCCUCUUGCUGUUUAAAGCGUAGAUUAUUGAGAAUUAAAUCAUACCAUACACAUCUAAUGAUUAAGUUAGAGAUUUUACUGUAUGUUGGUUUUUCGACACUUUUAGAAAAAUAUGAUAUUUAGGGGUUUGUUACGCGAGAAAACAAAAUAGAUGUUGUAGAUUUUUGUUUCUUAAAGAAGAGAUUAAGGGUAAGAGAAGUAGUGACUAUGAAAGUUAGAGGUUUUGAUGAAGAAGAGAGAACGGUACCGAUAUCUCUAGGGUUUUUUUUGUGUGACCUUCUCCAUUGGUGGUGUUUUUUUCAUGAAAGAAGAAUAAGAGAAUAUUUAUAUAUAGCAAAAAAUAAAAAAGCUUAUUCAAAAAGGCUAAAUAUUUCAAAAUUAUUUCUCCACGUAACUUAAUUAUGCUAAUUAAUUGAUUUAGUUAUUCUAAUGACCAAGCAACCACAUAACACAUAACUUUUAAAAUGAGAGGAUCUAAAUUUCUAUUAUAUCACACUGCAUUUGCUAAUACUUUUAAGUCUUACAGAGUGGCAUAGUAAUAAGAUAGAUAUUUUUAUUUAUUUCAAGCUUUAUCAAAGACAAGUGAUAAUAAAGCUACACACUCAAAAGUCAAAAGAAAAGUUAAGAAACACACAAGAUGACAUAGUGGACGAUGGAUACAGUGGUAAGCGGUAUGGUGAUGGUGAAUUAUUUAGAAUGAAGAGGGUAAGGCUUGUUUUGAUAAUCAAACUUAAAGGUAUAGACUCCAGUGUAAAGACCAUCAUCACACUCUAUCUCAACUCUUCUUCCGUUUCGGAGAAGAUCUCGUUGCGUGUACGAAAACGGAAUAUCACAUUUGGCCUUUGUUGCAAGAAGAGUAACUUUCAUCCUUGUGUUUGGUGGUACAGGAACAGUAUAUGUUGCCGUUACUUCUCUACUUUCUGAAAUAGUUUCUCCCCAUGUGUAAUUCGCUUCAAAAUUGUAGCUGACUUUAAUCUCAGCAUCUAAAAUUUCAGGAAUCCCAGCUUUAAUGGAAGUCUCUAUACCCACACCUACGGUGAGUGAAGAUUCCCAAGUUUUGGAUUUUUCUUCUAGGUACUUCAAACUUACAGCCAUAACCGUCUCCUUCGAGCUCGAGUUAACAGCCUCCUCCGUUGCCAUUGUUAGUACCUGUUCAUCGUAUAUCUUUGCAUCCAUAGUCCGGUACCGAAUAUUGUAGAUUUCCCUUGAAAUAAUUGGCUCAACGAUCUCCAAUUCUGCCUCUUUAGUGAUAGUUUCACUACUAGCGUUCAGAAAAUCCACCUUACCAUCACCAGUGUAUCUCGUAACGAACCUGCCAUUGGCAACGUUUCGAAGCGCGACUUUGUUUUUAGCAAUCUUGACUGGCCAGAACAAGGUGUUCUUAUCGUUCUUCGUCUGGUCGUUUGAGUCAGCCAGGAUCCAGUUUGGGUCACGUCUCCAAAACUUCUUCGUAGAUUCGUUCUUGAUUUUAACAGUUCCAUCGCCGACGUUGAAAAUUUCAUGGCUCACCUGAGGGUUUCCAAUGUCGUUGGCAUUGAACUGCAGAUAUGGGGAAUUACGAUACGUAUAGGCAGCGAGAAACUUGUCAUUGUUCUUAAAGGAGAGGUAUUUGGGGAGUCGAAUGAUGUUUUCAAAGUCGACUAGCACAACUAAUUUGUCGUCGUGUCGUUUUUCAUCUCGUCUAUAUCUAGUUGUGAGAACAUCGGGAUGAAUUCUGCUACUGGUACAUCGACGUGCAUAGGUUUGAAGCAAGACAUCAAAUAAAUAGUAAGUCCCUGUAGUAGGACCAGGGAUGAAAUUAAACAAUGUGCAUGGCGAUGAGGAUUCGUUUUCACUCGGCUUGCUAACGAAGGGAGUAACGAAGCGAUUGUGGUCGUUGGAAGAGGCCAAGUACUUGUCGUU